rnacentral:rRNA from 1 species
GAUCCUGGCUCAGGAUGAACGCUAGCGGCAGGCUUAACACAUGCAAGUCGAGGGGCAGCAUAAUGGAUAGCAAUAUCUAUGGUGGCGACCGGCGCACGGGUGCGUAACGCGUAUGCAACCUACCUUUAACAGGGGGAUAACACUGAGAAAUUGGUACUAAUACCCCAUAACAUCAUGAAAGGCAUCUUUANGGUUGAAAAUUCCGAUGGUUAGAGAUGGGCAUGCGUUGUA